UCCCUUGGGAGAGGUCAUCCGUGUGGGCUGCGGUGCCAUCAAUACGCUCAUGACAUCCAGCUCUACCUAUCUUUUAAAGUCAGCAGACACCAGGGAGGCAGUGGAUGCUCUGAACCGGGGCUUGGAGGCUGUGCUGGACUGGAUAGGGGCAAACAAGGUGAAACUUAAUCUAGAUAAGAUGGAAGUGCUCUAGGUUGGUGGAACUGAUCAUCUGAAUAAUAAGGAUUUCUCUGUUCUUCUGUGAGGAUCCUGUACUUGGCUGUAGACAUCCAGAUUCUUGAGGUGGUCCUUGCUUCUCUGAAUAAUUCUGCUGGCCCAGCUGCUGACUUCUGUACACUUUCUCCAGCUGCGCAAUUGUCAUUCUUACAUGAUACAGUUCUAUGUUUGCUGGGAGCAGGGUUCUAAUAUCUUGUAUUCUUGUUAUAUCUUGGAGGGAAAAAGAAAAUAAUUGUUUUCUGAAUUGGAAAUAUGACUUUGAAGCUGCUACACUCAUUUUCAAAUUCAUAAUUCUCCCUGCCAACCCCCACGGGUGGGGAGGGGGAGAGCAAGCAGGCGGGUAAGCCUGCAAUUUCUACAGAGAGAACCAUUUGUCUUGUUUCCCAUUUAUACUCAAGAUAUGUUUGUUUAAACUCAAGACAAUACUCCUCCAAUAUAUGUCAAACAUAAUUAGAUAUUGCACCUCUUUGCCCAAGAACAAGGUCCUUUCACUGACAAGUAAGUUUUAUUAUUUGUAUCUUCCUUACAUUAAAGGUUACAGAGUUAGGCUGAAUAUCUUACCAGA